rnacentral:rRNA from 1 species
GGAAUUUUGGGCAAUGGGGGAAACCCUGACCCAGCAACGCCGCGUGAAGGAUGAAGUAUUUCGGUAUGUAAACUUCGAAAGAAUAGGAAGAAUUAAUGACGGUAAUAUUUAUAAGGUCCGGCUAACUACGUGCAAGCAGCCACGGUAAUACGUAGGGACCAAGCGUUGUUCGGAUUUCCUGGGCGUCAAGGGCGCGUAGGCGGCAUGACAAGUCACUUGUGAAAUCUCCGGGCUUAACUCGGAACGGUCAAGUGAUACUGGUGAGCUAGAGUGCAGAAGGGGCAAUCGGAAUUCUUGGUGUAGCGGUGAAAUGCGUAGAUAUCAAGAGGAACACCUGAGGUGAAGACGGGUUGCUGGGCUGACACUGACGCUGAGGCGCGAAAGCCAGGGGAGCAAAC